rnacentral:tRNA from 1 species
AGGGAUGUAGCUAAGUGGUAGAACAUAUGCUUUACUUGUAUGAGGUCUUGGGUUCAAUCCCCAGCCUCUCCA